rnacentral:rRNA from 1 species
GGGUUGUGAGGUUAAGCGACUAAGCGUACACGGUGGAUGCCCUGGCAGUCAGAGGCGAUGAAGGACGUGCUAAUCUGCGAUAAGCGCCGGUAAGGUGAUAUGAACCGUUAUAACCGGCGAUUUCCGAAUGGGGAAACCCAGUGUGAUUCGUCACACUAUCAUUAACUGAAUCCAUAGGUUAAUGAGGCGAACCGGGGGAACUGAAACAUCUAAGUACCCCGAGGAAAAGAAAUCAACCGAGAUUCCCCCAGUAGCGGCGAGCGAACGGGGAGGAGCCCAGAGCCUGAAUCAGCAUGUGUGUUAGUGGAAGCGUCUGGAAAGGCGCGCGAUACAGGGUGACAGCCCCGUACACAAAAGCGCAUGUGCUGUGAGCUCGAUGAGUAGGGCGGGACACGUGGUAUCCUGUCUGAAUAUGGGGGGACCAUCCUCCAAGGCUAAAUACUCCUGACUGACCGAUAGUGAACCAGUACCGUGAGGGAAAGGCGAAAAGAACCCCGGCGAGGGGAGUGAAAAAGAACCUGAAACCGUGUACGUACAAGCAGUGGGAGCACAGGUUUACCUGUGUGACUGCGUACCUUUUGUAUAAUGGGUCAGCGACUUAUAUUCUGUAGCAAGGUUAACCGAAUAGGGGAGCCGUAGGGAAACCGAGUCUUAACCGGGCGUUAAGUUGCAGGGUAUAGACCCGAAACCCGGUGAUCUAGCCAUGGGCAGGUUGAAGGUUGGGUAACACUAACUGGAGGACCGAACCGACUAAUGUUGAAAAAUUAGCGGAUGACCUGUGGCUGGGGGUGAAAGGCCAAUCAAACCGGGAGAUAGCUGGUUCUCCCCGAAAGCUAUUUAGGUAGCGCCUCGUGAAUUCAUCUCCGGGGGUAGAGCACUGUUUCGGCUAGGGGGCCAUCCCGGCUUACCAACCCGAUGCAAACUGCGAAUACCGGAGAAUGUUAUCACGGGAGACACACGGCGGGUGCUAACGUCCGUCGUGAAGAGGGAAACAACCCAGACCGCCAGCUAAGGUCCCAAAGUCAUGGUUAAGUGGGAAACGAUGUGGGAAGGCCCAGACAGCCAGGAUGUUGGCUUAGAAGCAGCCAUCAUUUAAAGAAAGCGUAAUAGCUCACUGGUCGAGUCGGCCUGCGCGGAAGAUGUAACGGGGCUAAACCAU